rnacentral:rRNA from 1 species
UAACCUGCUAACUAGUUACGCAAACUUUCGAGUUUGUGGAUAACUUCUUAGAGGGACUAUCUGUGUCUAGCAGAUGGAAGUUUGAGGCAAUAACAGGUCUGUGAUGCCCUUAGAUGUUCUGGGCCGCACGCGCGCUACACUGACAAAAUCAACGAGUAUCAUCCUUGGCCGGAAGGUCUGGGUAAUCUUUUGAAACUUUGUCGUGCUGGGGAUAGACCCUUGCAAUUAUUGGUCUUCAACGAGGAAUUCCUAGUAAGCGCGAGUCAUCAGCUCGCGUUGAUUACGUCCCUGCCCUUUGUACACACCGCCCGUCGCU